rnacentral:rRNA from 1 species
AUGUUGUUUGAAUGCAAAUUGGCAAUGGACGUGUGGAAGUUGCUCGGUCUUGAGCUUGUUAUCAAACAGGCACUGAAAGUUGACAAGGCAGGUGAGCUUGUGUUGGCACAUCAUUUGUGUCUUCCAGAACAACAAAUCCAAGUGUUGGGCUUGCCGAAGUUCAGAGAAACGGUGGCAACGACGGCUUGGUAUUUGUGGUAUGAAAGGCGAAAAUUGACGCAUGACGAAGAAACUCUAAGCGCAUGUCAAAUCAAUAUUUCAGUGAGAGGCUUAGUAGCAAAUUAUACCAUCUCUUAUAGCCCAAAGGCUCUCGUCCGUUCAGAUGCUUGGCUGAAACCAAGGUAUAGUUACGUGAAAUUAAAUGUUGACGCGGGAUUUGAUAGUGACACACUCGUAGCAACAUUUGGAGCAGUUAUUCGGGACCAUAGGGGGGAAUUUAUAGCGGCUGCUAAUGAAAAGAUGGACCUUUGCUUCGACUCGUUCACAGCUGAAGCAAUUGCAGUGAGGUUUGGUUUGAAUCUUCCUAAUACUGUCGGAUGCAGUAAGAUUGAAGUGAAUUCGGAUAGCAUGGAGGUGGUGAAUGCGUUGAGCCAAGGCUACUCUUCUUCAGUCGCUUCAUCUAUUAUAGAUGACUGUUAUUUUAUGUCAUUAGAUUUUUCCCAUGUCAUUUAUGAUCAUUGUAAUAGGGAACGUAAUCGAGUAGCUCAUGAACUAGCAAGGUUAGCUAGGUUUUCUUCUCCGAGUGUUUGGAUGGAUAACGCCCCUGAUGAGGUUAUCCCUUUACUUGUAAAUGAUGCUAUUUUACUUAUGAAUGAAUAA